AUUGAACGCUGGCGGCAUGCCUUACACAUGCAAGUCGAACGGUAGAGGGGGCAACCCCUUGAGAGUGGCGAACGGGUGAGUAAUGCAUCGGAACGUGCCCAGUUGUGGGGGAUAACACUUCGAAAGAAGUGCUAAUACCGCAUACGACCUGAGGGUGAAAGGGGGGGACUCGCAAGAGCCUCUCGCAAUUGGAGCGGCCGAUGUCAGAUUAGGUAGUUGGUGGGGUAAAAGCCUACCAAGCCGACGAUCUGUAGCUGGUCUGAGAGGACGACCAGCCACACUGGGACUGAGACACGGCCCAGACUCCGACGGGAGGCAGCAGUGGGGAAUUUUGGACAAUGGACGCAAGUCUGAUCCAGCCAUGCCGCGUGCAGGAAGAAGGCCUUCGGGUUGUAAACUGCUUUUGUCAGGGAAGAAAUCCUCUGGGCUAAUAUCCUGGGGGGAUGACGGUACCUGAAGAAUAAGCACCGGCUAACUACGUGCCAGCAGCCGCCGUAAGAC
rnacentral:rRNA from 1 species